GCAAACUUGGUCAUUUAGAGGAAGUAAAAGUCGUAACAAGGUUUCCGUAGGUGAACCUGCGGAAGGAUCAUUAUUGAAUGUUGCCUUGAUAGGUUGUUGCUGGUCCACUGGGGCAUUGUGCACGCCUGUCUUGACUUCAAUUCAUCCAUCUGUGCACCUUUUGUAGUCUUUUCAGGGGGCUGGGGGAAACAGCAGCUCAGGCUGUUGCUUGAACCUCCCACUGGAGGCUAUGUUCUUUUAUACACACCAUUAGAAUGAUACAGAAUGUUGUCAAUGGGGCACUUUUGUGGCCUAUAUAAAAUUUAUACAACUUUCAGCAACGGAUCUCUUGGCUCUCGCAUCGAUGAAGAACGCAGC
rnacentral:misc_RNA from 1 species